rnacentral:rRNA from 1 species
AUUGAACGCUGGCGGCAGGCCUAACACAUGCAAGUCGAGCGAGCGGCGGACGGGUGAGUAAUGUAUGGGGACUGCCCGAUAGAGGGGGAUAACUACUGGAAACGGUGGCUAAUACCGCAUACUAUCGGAUAACCCAUAUGGGAUUAGCUAGUAGGUGGGGUAAAGGCUCACCUAGGCGACGAUCUCUAGCUGGUCUGAGAGGAUGAUCAGCAAACUGGGGAUGGAGACACGGCCCAGACUCAUAGGGGGGCAGCAGGGGGGAAUAUCGCAAAAUGGGCGAAAGCCUGAUGCAGCAAUGCCGCGUGUAUGAAGAAGGCCUUAGGGUUGUAAAGUACUGUCAGCGGGGAGGCGUUACCCGCAGAAGAAGCACCGGCUAACUCCGUGCCAGCAGCCGCGGUAAUAC